AAAACUAAAAGCGAAUUACAAAAUAACAUCACCCGAGACCAAAUUACUAAUAACAAUAAGUAUACAAUUUUGUUUUUAGUUUAUGGAGCAAUGAAGAUUAUGGUUUUACUAAGAUUUUUGUUUUUGUUUUAUCUAUGCGCAAAUUUUUAUGCUUUGAUUUUUAAAUGAACCACUUUUUUUGAAAGAAAAUCGGUAUGAGGAGGUACUCUAAGUAGGAAAUUUUUCAAUUUUUUCGGGAGUUUUCUCAUACAAUUUAAAAAACCGAAUAAAAACGGAGGAAAAAUGUACGAAAUUUAUUAUUAAAAUAUUAUGAUUUUUAUUUCAGUGUACAACUUUUAUACCAACAAUUUUGCUCAGAUUUACAACGAUAGCACUCUUUUUCUAUAAGCAAAUCUGACCGUAUUCAUUUUUCGAUUUUCCCAAGAGUUUUCCCAGCAAAGGUGAAAAACCGGGGAAAAACAUGGGAAAACCGGGAAAAACGUAGGAUAAUCGGUACAACAUUAAACAAAAAUUAUUAAAGAAAAUACAUAAUGCCUAUUUAAUUAUUUUACCAUAAUACGGCAUGUACAUAUAUUCUCAAAGCAUUACUAUCAACU